rnacentral:rRNA from 1 species
GAUGAACGCUGGCGGCGUGCCUAAUACAUGCAAGUCGAGCGAACGGACGAGAAGCUUGCUUCUCUGAUGUUAGCGGCGGGCGGGUGAGUAACACGUGGAUAACCUACCUAUAAGACUGGGAUAACUUCGGGAAACCGGAGCUAAUACCGGAUAAUAUUUUGAACCGCAUGGUUCAAAAGUGAAAGACGGUCUUGCUGUCACUUAUAGAUGGAUCCGCGCUGCAUUAGCUAGUUGGUAAGGUAACGGCUUACCAAGGCAACGAUGCAUAGCAGACCUGGGAGGGUGAUCGGCCACACUGGAACGUAGACCCGGUCCAGACUCCUACGGGAGGCAGCAGUAGGGAAUCUUCCGCAAAGGGCGAAAGCCUGACGGAGCAACGCCGCGUGAGUGAGGAAGGUCUUCGGAUCGUAAAACUCUGUUAUUAUGGAAGAACAUAUGUGUAAGUAACUGUGCACAUCUUGACGGUACCUAAUCAGAAAGCCACGGCUAACUACGUG